UACGUAGGGGGCAAGCGUUGUCCGGAUUUAUUGGGCGUAAAGAGCGUGUAGGCGGUUUGGUAGGUCCGCUGUGAAAACUCGAGGCUCAACCUCGAGACGCCGGUGGAAACCAUCAGGCUAGAGUCCGGAAGAGGAGAGUGGAAUUCCUGGUGUAGCGGUGAAAUGCGCAGAUAUCAGGAGGAACACCAGCGGCGAAGGCGGCGCUCUGGGCCGGUACUGACACUGAGGAGCGAAAGCGUGGGUAGCAAACAGG
rnacentral:rRNA from 1 species